CUUUUUCAAUAACAGUUAAAUACACAGAGCUAACUUAAUUCUGUUUUACUGUUACAGUAAAUAAUAAUUAAAGACACUGAUUCUGGUGUGCCUGGUAUGUGGCCUAUGGGGAUGAUAAGGUCUGGUAUUGGAGAUUGGUACUUGAAAGUCAAUGGUUGAUCAUGAUGACCAUCUUUAAUUUAAUGGGGAAAGAUUAACCAAUAUUUGCAGCUGGAGAGGCUAUCACCACACUUCAAUGAUUUAGUUAAGACAAUGAAAUAGAAGAACUUCAUGCUAACACUUGCAUCAGUGGAAGUACUUCUUAUUGGAUAGAGAACUUUACAAGGUCAGUGAUGUUUGUAAUGUUUUAUAUUAAUAUUUUGUUUUGCCUUUUUAAACUCAUCUUAAUGGAGCUGUGAACUGCAUAGGUGGAUUAUCCAUCAUACACAAUGUUUAGCUCGACUACUCAACCUGGCGUAAGCAUUGGUUCAAGUUUAUUUCUUAAGUUUUAUAUAUUUUAGCUUUCAAAAGAUACUGUAUGCACAUGUUUGACAAGGGACACUGUCAGCAAUAUUUUCAGAGUGAUGCCCCAUUUUUAUUUAGAAAUUUGAUUAACAAUUUAUCCAUAAUGAUAAUUAUCUCUGCAAUGCAUUGCAGUAAGGGCCAAUUUACAAGGCUAGACUAUUGAUAGACUAGCUUCUGUUUUAUCAUAAUCAGCUACUAUAAAGCUACUGUUCAGUACACAGAUUGCAUGUGACAAUUUUCAUCUUUACAGCAAAUCACUUCUUACCUUUACAACAAGUUUAGAACACUUGAUUAAAUUAGGGCUUAAUAGUGAUAAGAUA